AUGGCGCUCGCCUCCACCUCCGCCACCGCCUCCGCGGCCGUGCUCAAGAACCCGUUCCUCGGCGCGAGGCGCGCGCUCGCCAAUGCCGCCUCCCUCGGCGCCGCCAAGCCCGUGACGCGCCGCGUGGUGGUCGUCGCCGCGGCCGUCGGCAAGAAGUCGUGGAUCCCCGCGGUCAAGAGCGAUGCCGAGUUCAUCAACCCGUCCUGGCUCGAUGGCUCGCUCCCCGGUGACUUCGGCUUCGACCCGCUGGGGCUUGGCAAGGACCCGGCGUUCCUCAAGUGGUACAGGGAGGCCGAGCUGAUCCACGGGCGCUGGGCGAUGGCCGCCGUGCUGGGCAUCUUCAUCGGGCAGGCGUACAGCGGCGUGCCGUGGUUCGAGGCCGGAGCGCAGCCAGGCGCGGUGGCGCCCUUCUCCUUCGGGUCGCUCCUGGGCACCCAGCUGCUGCUCAUGGGGUGGGUGGAGUCCAAGCGGUGGGUCGACUUCUUCAACCCGGACUCCCAGUCGGUGGAGUGGGCCACGCCGUGGUCGCGCACAGCCGAGAACUUCGCCAACUUCACCGGCGAGCAAGGGUACCCGGGCGGCAAGUUCUUCGACCCGCUCGGCCUCGGUGGCGAGACCAAGGACGGCGUCUACAUCCCCGACACCGAGAAGCUCGAGCGGCUCAAGGUGGCCGAGAUCAAGCACUCGCGCCUCGCCAUGCUCGCCAUGCUCAUCUUCUACUUCGAGGCCGGACAGGGCAAGACGCCGCUCGGCGCGCUCGGCCUAUAA
rnacentral:rRNA from 1 species